rnacentral:tRNA from 1 species
GAGGGUGUAGCUCAGUGUUGGAGAGCAUGCCUAGCACGCACAAGGUCCUGGGUUCAACCCCCAGUCCCUCU